CCAUUUCUGAACUUCACACUGAAGUAGCAGUCAACUUCAUUUGCAUUUAAUCCAAAUGGAGCUUUACUCUGGACGUUCAUCUCUGCUGCUGCUGAUCAGGAACCUCAGUCCAGAAUCUCCCGCUCAGUGGAGGUGAUACUCAGCAUGCCUUCAUCAGCACUUCUCAUGCUGAGGUGCGGCUGUGUGCUUUGGUCCUCUGCGGGCUGCCGGAGUUGUCACGUACUGUAACAGAAACGCUGCUGGAUGACUCUCGCCGCCUCUCACAAGGCUAAUUAUAGUGAGUGCACAGGGACGGAGCUGCCUAAGAAUUAUUUAUGAUCCUUCUGCUGGCCUGCUUCGUCUCGUCAAACAAGGGGUCCUCAAUUUGCAGAUCGGCGCUGAUCCUCAGCCUCCCUUUGCUUCUUUUCCCAUUUGUUUCAGAAUAGCUCUUUAAAGGAAAAUAAAGAAUAUCUUCAAUCAGUCCCAAAGUUUCUCUCCCAGCCAGUCAAUAUUUGCUUUUAGAGGACAAAAGUCCUGAUAUUAAAAACCAUUGAGGUUUCAGGUCAUUAAAACCAUUUUCAUCCUGAGAGCCUUUUUGUUCUGCAGCUUCUCCGCUGUUCUCCUGCGCAGAGAAAAUAAAACCUGAUACAAUGUGAGCAUUGAUUGUCCAUGUGUUUGGAUCGAGUUUGAAAAUAUAACAAAUUCAAUAUGAAAGCAGCAAAAAAAGACAUUCAGAGCUUUUCACAGAACAGAUGGUCGCUGCUGCAGCCCUGCUGUUGAUCAAAGUUGUGUUUUCAGAACCAGUUGCUGCAUUUCUUUCUUUAAUUACGAUUUUUCUUUUUGUACAAACUCCAGAAACAUUUUCAAGUCAACCACAAAGAAUAUCAUGGAGUGAAAUUAAACUGCUGAACUAUAUUGUUAUUCUAUCACAUGUUAAUUAAUGUUAAUUUAAUUCAUUUAAACUUUUUCACAGUCGAGCCUUACCUCACAUGUGCAACACUGCUACUGCAUUUACACAUCGGCAUGCAAAUAUUGAAGCUGUUACCCAAUAAUAGCAUAAAUUAACUUGAAACAACAACAUGCAAACGCUGUCUAAAUGCUGAAACCGCAGCUGACAGAACUGCCUGUUUAAUUCAGCUAAUAAUUAUCAAACCCAGUUGAUUCUUAAAAAUAGGGGAAAAUUUAACGAGAAAUUGAAAUCCACAGCAAAAGUAACAAACCUUAUUGAUCCCGAUAUUUAUGCUCUACUGGCAAUAGGAGUAAAAUGACAGGACUGAUGUUCUGUAUAGUUCUGUUAAUUUUCCUAAAGUUACACCUGCAAAAAUGAGCAUUUUUGUUUAUUCGUCAACAUAAAUAGUAAUAAGGAAAACAGUGUGGGAAUCGUUUUCUAUUUGAGUCUAAAGAAUGGCUGCUUCUCCUUAACUGGGAACGAUCCAUGUCACAAAUGUUGUAUUUAUUUCUCAAGAUUUACAGUUUAAUUAGAAUCGACUCAAAAAUUACUCAAUAUAAGAAAAAUCGCUAAUUUGAUCAGAACCAGAUCUAUUACCCAUCCACUCCCUGUUGAAUAUUUAAUCAUAGAAAACCCCAAAUUUAACAAGCAAAGAGGAAUUAUGCUAAUUCUGCUGCGCAACUGCAGAUUAGAUGGGAUGUUUUAGGAGAAGGGAAUUAAUUUUUGAAAUAUUAUAAUCUAAGCUGAUUAAAAAUCAAGCAUUUAUCAGAUCUUUAACAUGAGAGAGGAGAGAAAAGGUCUUGAUCCGUCAGGUUUCAGGACACAAUAAAAACAGGAAAUGGAUAAAUGGAUCUCACCUGGUCCAGGUUCUUGAACAGCUUCGUGGUUUUGAUCUUGGAUCUUUUUGAGGCACAUUUGUUAAAAUAACAAGAAGCUUCUAACUUUUAGCUUAAGCUAAAUGAUUCUCCAUGGUGUUCAGUAGAGAAAAAUCAGAAAUAAAUCUGCUAAAAGUAGAUGAACAAAAUGCAGCGAUGCAAACAAAACGACCUUUCACUGAGAGGCUAAACUCUUCUCUCCGACCAGGCAGAGCCUCUUUAUAGUGUUUCAUUUUGCUACUUGACGCUUUACAUUUAUUUGAGGUAAACAGGGUAAUCACAAAAAGAAAAAAUGAAAAACAAUCCUCCUGAUGCUCUUUGUGCUUAUGAUGCAGAUGAUGCAGAUUCUCAACUUUGCUUUCACACAGAAUUUCGUUUAGUUUCUAGUCUAUCUUUACACACUUAAAAUAAGAAAACACUAAUUUCUAACUUA